UACCCGUGUCUUUCCGCAUGGUAUUACUCACUAAGACAAGAUAUACGAGCUCCUUCCUUAGAACGACUGCAAGAACUUCAAGGACGACAGAAUCGCCAUGCGCCAGCUUCUGGAAUACUCAGUCAGUAUAGAUCUGAAUAAAAUAUUUCGGAGAGGAAAUAAUACUUUUCAAGCAAAUGCUUCUUGCCACACAAUCGACGACAAAAUCACGGCAAAGCGCGACGAAAGUUGUAAACAACACACUUCAAUUAGCCGGCGUUGAUCGCAACAUGCUUUCAACCGUAUUUGUUGAUUUAAGCGCGCGAACGUCACACUACCUUGCAGAAAAAUAUCGAACUGGAUGCUACGAAUGCGCUUGCCUCGCAGCCGGGGCCAUGAAUUGGCGUGAAGCGCCAAAGCCAGCGAUCACUGCUGCUGUUGGAUGAAGAGGCACAACAGCCAACAGCCAGCAGCCAUCACCCGAAGUUCCCCACACCCUCGUUGUAUACAGCGACGCAGCGCACACGGGCAAACGGCGCUGCUGGGACAGCCGCAGCAUGAAGGUAUAUACGGAUGUAUGCAAAAGCGCAUUCGAGGCAUGAUCUUACAACCUACUACAUAUUUGAAUAGGUUGUUACUUUUCGUACUGUUUUGUCGUAAAAUUUGUGGUCCCGGAUUCGAGAGUUAUCAAAUAUAUGUACAUAUGUGCAUGAUCAUAUUUACAUAUGACAGUUCUGCAAGUUAAAGGAUUUUUACGACAUUCCUCCAACUCAGGACGUUAUUCAUUAUUCAGCAUAAAUAUACUACAUAAAUACAAUAUUGUCUGCGGAUUCCAGAUUCUUCUACCGUUUUUGAUGACCAUUUCAUGUAAGUACAUAUGUAUGGAUGUAUAUAAAAAUAUCGUUGGCUAAUGGAUUGCUCAUAGGACAGAUUUUAUUGAAAGGGAUCGCCGAGGGACUGGGUUAUUAUGCAGCACUUGAAAGCACACUCUGCAUAGAGAGACACAAAUAGGCGAUAAAUCAUCUCUAGUGGUUUCGGAAAUCUCUCCAUAGUACUUAAGUACUGUAUUGCAAAAAUUUUUAUUGUGUUUCUAGCUUGAAGAACAUUGUUACUCUCUUAACGCUUACUUCAAGCGCUUUAACUCACGGUUCUGCUGUAAUUUCUCACCAAGUAAAGUCAAUCUCUUUUUACCGAACCCAGGGCACUCACAAGUUAUCUGAUGAGCUGCCUAUGCUGAUUCUCUGUAUUUCUUGCAUUGGUUGUACUCAAUGUUUGUGCUUGUAACAACUUUUUGCUCUAUAAAAUAAACCACUAUUCCAAAAAUUUGUUGAAGUAUUAUAUUCCAGAACACAAUAAAAAUCUAAAGAAUAUUAUGAAAACCAUACUGAUAUUUAACUUCAUAAAUCCAAAUCAUUCUUGUUCAAUAACGUUGCUCAGCUAAGAGGUAGGAGAGUUGGUAUAAAUGCUACGAUAUGAACACGUAAGCGGGGUGAGGAGGCGGAAGCAAAGAUACGAAA